rnacentral:rRNA from 1 species
AAACCAACAGGGANNNCCUUAGUAGCGGCGAGUGNAGCGNCAAAAGCUCAAAUUUGAAAUCUGGCGCCUUCGGUGUCCGANUUGUAAUUUGAAGAUUGUAACCUUGGGGUUGGCUCUUGUCUAUGUUUCUUGGAACAGGACGUCACAGAGGGUGAGAAUCCCGUGCGAUGAGAUGCCCAAUUCUAUGUAAGGUGCUUUCGAAGAGUCGAGUUGUUUGGGAAUGCAGCUCUAAGUGGGUGGUAAAUUCCAUCUAAAGCUAAAUAUUGGCGAGAGACCGAUAGCGAACAAGUACAGUGAUGGAAAGAUGAAAAGAACUUUGAAAAGAGAGUGAAAAAGUACGUGAAAUUGUUGAAAGGGAAGGGUUUGAGAUCAGACUCGAUAUUUUGUGAGCCUUGCCUUCGUGGCGGGGUGACCCGCAGCUUAUCGGGCCAGCAUCGGUUUGGGCGGUAGGAUAAUGGCGUAGGAAUGUGACUUUACUUCGGUGAAGUGUUAUAGCCUGCGUUGAUGCUGCCUGCCUANACCGANGACUGCGAUUUUAUCAAGGAUGNUGGCAUAAUGAUCCCAAACCGC